AGCCCCUUAGUGUAGCGGUCCAUCAUACGAGGUUCUGGUCCUCGUGACCUCGGUUCAAAUCCGAGAGGGGCUA
rnacentral:tRNA from 1 species